CCCGUCUCCCCGGGGGUCCCGGGACAGCACCGAGGCCCGGAGGUCCGGGCUCGCCCCACGGUCGGCGCCAGAUUUUACUCUCCAGGGUGCUCAGCACACCGUAAGCACUCGAGAAAUACGACCGGCCGACUGACCGACCCGCCUUCCCGGCACAGCUGCCCCUCUUAGGGCCGAGUGACGGCACUCACCGAGCACCCGCUGGGGGCAAACACCGUACUAGGCGCCGAGCAAGAAACACCCAGACGAGACACAGACCCAGCCCCGGCUCCCCCCCCCCCCCCCCCCGAAGGGCUCGCAAUCGAGGCACACGAGAACGUCGAAGGGGAAGAGACGAGUCCUCUAGAUUGUAAGGUCCGCACGGGCAGGGGACGUUUCUCCCCGCUCGGUCGCUUUCGAGUCUCCCGAGAGCUCAGCCCGGUGCCCCGCACCCAGUAAGAGCUCGAUAAAUACCGCGGAUUGCCUGACCCCGGUAAAUACGUCGAGAGCGGGAGGCCGCGGGGACCAGAACUGUCGCGCUUCAGGCUCCCUGCGCCGCAGUACGACCCUCACAGCGAUCCCGGCUGUAAUUCGAUAAAUCGAUCGCAGACGUACGCAUACGCGCCACGAGGACGAUACAGCAGGGAAGCAGCGUGGCCUAAUGAACCGCCCGC